UACGGGGGGAGCAAGCGUUGUUCGGAUUUACUGGGCGUAAAGGGCGCGUAGGCGGCGCAACAAGUCACUUGUGAAAUCUCCGGGCUUAACUCGGAGCGGCCAAGUGAUACUGUCGUGCUAGAGUGCGGAAGGGGCAACUGGAAUUCUCGGUGUAGCGGUGAAAUGCGUAGAUAUCGAGAGGAACACCUGCGGCGAAGGCGGGUUGCUGGGCCGACACUGACGCUGAGGCGCGAAAGCUAGGGUAGCAAACGGG
rnacentral:rRNA from 1 species